AACGAACGCUGGCGGCAGGCUUAACACAUGCAAGUCGAACGCCCCGCGAGGGGAGUGGCGCACGGGUGAGUAACGCGGGGAUAGCUGCCUUUUGGUUCGGAAUAACCCCGGGAAACUGGGGCUAAUACCGGAUGGUUCCUACGGGAUAAAGAUUUAUCGCCAAAAGAUGAGUCCGCGUACGAUUAGCUAGUUGGUGAGGUAAUGGCUCACCAAGGCGACGAUCGUUAGCUGGUCUGAGAGGACGAGCAGCCACACUGGGACUGAGACACGGCCCAGACUCCUACGGGAGGCAGCAGUGGGGAAUAUUGGACAAUGGGGGCAACCCUGAUCCAGCCAUGCCGCGUGAGCGAUGAAGGCCUUCGGGUUGUAAAGCUCUUUUGGCGGGGACGAUGAUGACGGUACCCGCAGAAUAAGCCCCGGCUAACUUCGUG
rnacentral:rRNA from 1 species